AUUCGUUCUAGGUACUGUGAAUCAGAAGUGAUUGGGAAGACAGCGUUAUCAUCAAACCAAAACGUCAGGUCCAUCCCGAUCUAUCAGAGUAAUGGGGCUGCUCGUUUCGACACAUGCCGACUCAACUUCGGGAGAGCCGGUCAUGUGACCGGCACAUUUUCCAAUCGAGUGUACCGGCUGUAUUGCAAGAUGGCGGCCGAUGCAAUAGCGUUGGCAAUGUUGGAUAUGUUUAUGGAAAGUGAUAGUGAAGGGGAAGAAAUGGAAUGCUUGAUGGAGGCGACUCAAACACCUCACAACGCAUUUACGAGAAGAUCGAACAAAAACAGAAGGGUAUUUUGAAGAAACAAUCCCGAACUACUUACCAGAUGACUUCACAAGGUUUUUUAAAAUGAAUCGUGAAACAUUUGAUGUCCUUUGUCAAAACCUUAGUGAAUGUGAACAGUUAAAACAACGUGUAUGUGCAGGAGGUAGAGAACCGAUUCCGAUGGAGAAGAAGGUACUGAUGACCAUUCGUUAUUUGUCGUCAAUGGAUACAAUACGUAGUUUAAGUGACAGAUUUGGUGUAACCGAUUCUUCGUUUUUGAAGUGUAGGGAACAAGUAAUUAAUGCAAUUAACUCUUCAUUGAAGAAAUUCAUCAAAUGGCCAACGACUGGUGAUUAUUUGUCAAUAUCAGAACGCUUCAAUGAUACAGGUUCAUAUGAAUUCCCAAAUAUCAUUGGAGCAAUAGAUGGGUCACACAUCCCAAUCGAAGCUCCAGCAGAGGAUGCUAAUGCAUAUUACAACAGGAAAGGAUUCCACUCCAUUCUUUUGCAGGGCAUCUGCACACAUGACUUGAUCGUCAGUUCAUGAACAUUUACCUCCUAGAUAAGCUUGUCUCCACACCUUAUAUGUACAUGUAAAGGCAAUUAUCAUGAAACUGUCAUUUCCAUUUUUGAUUUGUUGUCAGCUUCUUUCGAACUGAUAUGAGGUAAUUGCUGAAGUGCACAUUGACAUAUAUAUCAUCUUAAAUCCAUGGUUGAAGCGAUUGUUAGUGGCAAGAUAAACUUAGUAAAUAUUAAACAUGUACGACUAC